rnacentral:tRNA from 1 species
GACCUUGUAGCUCAGUUGGUAGAGCAUUAGACUAACAAACCAAAGGUCUCGGGUUCGAUUCCCACCACGGUCA